CCUACGGGAGGCAGCAGUGGGGAAUAUUGCACAAUGGGCGCAAGCCUGAUGCAGCAACGCCGCGUGAGGGACGAAGGCCUUCGGGUUGUAAACCUCUUUUAGUAGGGAAGAAGCGACUGGGUUUUCCUGGGAGUGACGGUACCUGCAGAAAAAGCACCGGCUAACUACGUGCCAGCAGCCGCGGUAAUACGUAGGGUGCAAGCGUUGUCCGGAAUUAUUGGGCGUAAAGAGCUCGUAGGCGGUUUGUCGCGUCUGCUGUGAAAACCCGAGGCUCAACCUCGGGCCUGCAGUGGGUACGGGCAGACUAGAGUGCGGUAGGGGAGAUUGGAAUUCCUGGUGUAGCGGUGGAAUGCGCAGAUAUCAGGAGGAACACCAAUGGCGAAGGCAGAUCUCUGGGCCGUAACUGACGCUGAGGAGCGAAAGCAUGGGGAGCGAACAGGAUUAGAUACCCUGGUAGUCCAUGCCGUAAACGUUGGGAACUAGAUGUGGGGACCAUUCCACGGUCUCCGUGUCGCAGCUAACGCAUUAAGUUCCCCGCCUGGGGAGUACGGCCGCAAGGCUAAAACUCAAAGGAAUUGACGGGGGCCCGCACAAGCGGCGGAGCAUGCGGAUUAAUUCGAUGCAACGCGAAGAACCUUACCAAGGCUUGACAUAUACCGGAAACGGCUGGAAACAGUCGCCCCGCAAGGUCGGUAUACAGGUGGUGCAUGGUUGUCGUCAGCUCGUGUCGUGAGAUGUUGGGUUAAGUCCCGCAACGAGCGCAACCCUCGUCCUAUGUUGCCAGCACGUAAUGGUGGGAACUCAUGGGAUACUGCCGGGGUCAACUCGGAGGAAGGUGGGGAUGACGUCAAAUCAUCAUGCCCCUUAUGUCUUGGGCUUCACGCAUGCUACAAUGGCCGGUACAAAGGGCUGCGAUACCGCAAGGUGGAGCGAAUCCCAAAAAGCCGGUCUCAGUUCGGAUUGAGGUCUGCAACUCGACCUCAUGAAGUCGGAGUCGCUAGUAAUCGCAGAUCAGCAACGUUGCGGUGAAUACGUUCCCGGGCCUUGUUCACACA
rnacentral:rRNA from 1 species